AAUACCAUUCCCAGUGUUUGCCUGGUCUCAGCAAGGGAAAAAAAAAAAAAAAAAAAAACCAUCAAAACAAAGAGAAGCAAGUCAGCUUCUUGGCUGGAUCCGAUUGCUAAAAAGCGGGCCAGGCAAUUAAUUUCAAGAAAAUCUUCUGAUAAGAAAGUCGCCAGUAUCACUCGCCUGGAUCUGAUGCUUAGCUGAUUUUUCAGGCUCUUUUUCGACUGGUACGUGCAGGAGCUGCUGCUGCUGCUUUACUUUUACUCUCUUUUUUCCCCCGUUUUUUCUUUUGGUUGGUAAUAUUUUCUAAGAAGUAAUUGGAAUUGGGACUUUUUGGUUUUUUCUUUUUUUUUUUGGGGGGCGGGGUGCAGGGGAGGUGCGUGGGCCUUAGC
rnacentral:lncRNA from 1 species